GACGAACGCUGGCGGCGUGCUUAACACAUGCAAGUCGAGCGGUAAGGCCCUUUCGGGGGUACGACGAGCGGCGAACGGGUGAGUAACACGUGGGUGACCUGCCCUUAGCUCUGGGAUAAGCCUGGGAAACUGGGUCUAAUACCGGAUAUGACUCCAUAACGCAUGUUGUGGGGUGGAAAGCCUUGUGCGGCUAGGGAUGGGCCCGCGGCCUAUCAGCUUGUUGGUGGGGUGAUGGCCUACCAAGGCGACGACGGGUAGCCGGCCUGAGAGGGCGACCGGCCACACUGGGACUGAGACACGGCCCAGACUCCUACGGGAGGCAGCAGUGGGGAAUCUUGCGCAAUGGGCGAAAGCCUGACGCAGCGACGCCGCGUGGGGAUGA
rnacentral:rRNA from 1 species